rnacentral:rRNA from 1 species
GACGAACGCUGGCGGCGUGCUUAACACAUGCAAGUCGAACGGAAAGGCCCUGCUUUUGUGGGGUGCUCGAGUGGCGAACGGGUGAGUAACACGUGAGUAACCUGCCCUUGACUUUGGGAUAACUUCAGGAAACUGGGGCUAAUACCGGAUAGGAGCUCCUGCUGCAUGGUGGGGGUUGGAAAGUUUCGGCGGUUGGGGAUGGACUCGCGGCUUAUCAGCUUGUUGGGGGGGUAGUGGCUUACCAAGGCUUUGACGGGUAGCCGGCCUGAGAGGGUGACCGGCCACAUUGGGACUGAGAUACGGCCCAGACUCCUACGGGAGGAAGCAGUGGGGAAUAUUGCACAAUGGGCGGAAGCCUGAUGCAGCAACGCCGCGUGCGGGAUGACGGCCUUCGGGUUGUAAACCGCUUUCGCCUGUGACGAAGCGUGAGUGACGGUAAUGGGUAAAGAAGCACCGGCUAACUACGUG